rnacentral:rRNA from 1 species
GACGAACGCUGGCGGCGUGCUUAACACAUGCAAGUCGAACGGAAAGGCCCUGCUCUUGUGGGGUGCUCGAGUGGCGAACGGGUGAGUAACACGUGAGUAACCUGCCCUUGUCUUUGUGAUAACUUCAGGAAACUGGGGCUAAUACCGGAUAGGAGCUCCUGCUGCAUGGUGGGGGUUGGAAAGUUUCGGCGGUUUGGGCUGGACUCGCGGCUUAUGAGCUGGUUGGUGGGGUAGUGGCUGACCAAGGCUGUGACGGGUAGCCGGCCUGAGAGGGUGACCGGCCACAAGGGGACUGCGAGACGGACCAGACGGCUACGGGAGGCAGCAGUGGGGAAUAUUGCACAAUGGGCGGACGCCUGAGACAGCAACGCUGCGUGCGGGAUGCCGGGCUUCCGGUUGUAAACCGCUUUCGCCUGUGACGAAGCGUGAGUGACGGUAAUGGGUAAAGAAGCACCGGCUAACUACGUG